UCAUUAUUAUUAGUUCAAAGUUUAAUUCGUAACAUUAUAUUUCUAUUGUGUCAUGAUAUGAUGCAUGAAUGUUAUUCUAAAGUUGUCAGCAAAUGUGAAUUGAUUUUUCGGGUCAGUUCUAUUUUGCAAUAGGUUCAAGAUACAGCUUUGUUUAACAUAUUCUAUUUCUCAGGGUGCCUAUGUCGUGCGAAUASSAAUAUUUGCGUGGCGAGUACACAUGCAUAUUUAAUAAAAGGUGUAUGCAUGACGGAAUUUGAAUCAUUUUAUAACUUAUGCAUAUUUAAUAAAAGGUGUAUGCAUGAUUCAUUUUCUGGCACUGACUUAUACAAUAUCAAAGCGAGAUCAAGAUAUUGUGCAAGGCUUAAAUAUUUUAGUAAAGAUGUUUUCAUAUUCGUCCCUGUCGSAACUACCUAAUGCUUUGUAGGUUAAUUCCGAAAUAGUUGUUUUAAAAGCUCGGGGAUUGGCUAUAAAUAUGAAUUACAGAUUGAACGAGAGCCCUGAGAACGUCUAAAAAUUUAACUUAUUAAUAGUAUUACAUUAGUAAUACGGAUCCUCGAUUUUAUUAUUGAGUUGAUCAAAUUAGAAUAUGGAUCGCCUAACAGCAUCUGUAUUAAAAAC
rnacentral:misc_RNA from 1 species